rnacentral:rRNA from 1 species
UACGUAGGGUGCAAGCGUUAUCCGGAAUACUGGCGGUAAGGCGUGCGCAGGCGGUUAUGUAAGACAAGGUGCGAAAUCCCCGGGCUUAACCUCGGGGAAACUGGCAUUUGUGUACUGCAUAGCUAGAGUACGGUAGAGGCAGGUGGAAUUCCGGGUGUAGCGGUGGAAUGCGUAGAGAUCCGGAAGAACACCGGUGGCGAAGGCGGCCUGCUGGGCAGUGGCUGACGCUGAGGCGCGACAGCGUGGGGAGCAAACAGG